AUUGAACGCUGGCGGCAGGCCUAACACAUGCAAGUCGAACGAGUGGCGGACGGGUGAGUAAUGUCUGGGAAACUGCCUGAUGGAGGGGGAUAACUACUGGAAACGGUAGCCAAUACCGCAUACAAUCGGAUGUGCCCAGAGGGGCUUAGCUAGUAGGUGGGGUAAAGGCUCACCUAGGCGACGAUCCCUAGCUGGUUGGAGAGGAUGACCGGCCACACGGGAACUGGGACCCGGUCCAGCCUCCUACGGGAGGCAGCAGUGGGGAAUAGUGCACAAUGGGCGCAAGCUGGAUGCAGCCAGGCCGCGUGUAGGAAGAAGGCCUUCGGGUUGUAAAGUUCUUUCAGCGGGGAGGCGUUACCCGCAGAAGAAGCACCGGCUAACUCCGUGCCAGCAGCCGCGGUAAUAC
rnacentral:rRNA from 1 species